UGACCACAAACAUGAUAUUUGCAUUUUAGGUAUUUAUUUUAUUUAGAAAAACCAUGACCAUCUUCUUCAUAGAAAUAAGUUAAGAAGAAGCUGUAGGAGGAACAAAGGCUCAACAUAACCAGUCUACAGCAUUGCCUUCAAUUUCUGCUAGCCUUUACCAAUCAACAGCGAUAUCAGAAGAGGCUCCAGGCUUUGCCCUUUACACUGAUAUAAUAAAAUACCUAUAUAAAAUGCUAAUCACUGUCAGCAAAUAUUUAACAGCUAUAAGGUGGCACAUAUAGCAUUCUAAAUUGUAUUAAUGUAAUUAAAAGAACUUAAAUCUUGCUUCUGUGGAUUCAUUCAACGUACUAUCUUCUUAUGCACAGUUUCUGUAUAAUACCUUCUAACAUUAGAGAUCUGAUAUCAAUUAACAAUGAAAAAUGUUUUAACAGACAGACUGUUAAAUAUGGUAGGACCAGGUAGUGAGUCACUUGAAUUUUAAGCACAUUAAUUCACUACAUAAGCUUCCAAUUUAUCUGAUCAGCUUUUUCAGUUANUAAGAGUUUAAAUGUACUGACAGGUUAUCCUGCAUCCUUCCAAUUAACAUCCUUUCAAUUUUCAAAGAAAAUUAAAUCUUUUUAUUAGCACAAGAAAUACUAUAAUUUUUAAUCAUAACAUUCAAAAAGUUAUAAAAGAUACAUAUAUAUGUGGCAUAUAUAUAUUGCAAUUAGAUCUAACAUGGAAGAUAUUCCUUUUUCAAAAGUUAGAGAAGUGUCUGGUGAGUGAUAGUCAAAACCAUCCCACACAACCAUCUUCCAAAGCUGAAAUUAAUUCACAAAAGGCCUUUUUAAAAUGUAGUUUUUCAAAUCUUAAAAUCACAUUUUAAAAAUACAUGUUAAAAAUCAUAGCUCUGAUCACAAUUUAAAAUUCUGGCUAUGGUGAAAAAUCACUCUAGAAAGUAGCAAGAGAUUAUCAUAAACAUAAAGAUGAACUUUCUAGAAUAGUUAAUGAUGAUGCAUCAUGAGUAAUAUUACUCAGAGGGUAAGCGUACCGGCCAGAGAGGCUGUGUCUGGCUCUAUAACGUACCAGCCCAUGUGACCUUGGGGCAAAAGUCACUUGCACUUUUUUUCCUAUGCUUCAGUUUUCUCAUCUAUAAAAUGAGAAUAAUAAAUGUACCUAACUCCACAGGGCUGUUAAGAAACAUAACAUACUUGGAGCAGUAACUGGUACAUGGUUAAGUGUGCUGAAAGUGACUGCUAUUAUUAGUAGUAGUAUUAGUAAAUGUUACAGGAAUAUUAAGAGGCUCAACAUAAACGAUACGCAGUUAAAUAAAGAAAAGCCCCAAAUCACACAAGAGAUGUUAAUAAAGUUUUGAGGCCACAUCAAUUACAUGAAAGAAGUGCAUCUAGGGGUUAU
rnacentral:lncRNA from 1 species